rnacentral:lncRNA from 1 species
UUUCAGACUCACUCAGGAGGCUUACUCUGCUCUCCCCCAAAACUCUUAUUAUGCUAGUAAUAAACUUUUCUAUUCCUUUCUGUGUGUGUCUGCAGCAUCAUUUUAUGACAUACAAACCAGAUUUUGAGUGGGUUCCACCCAGCCUCUGCCGAAUGUUCUAAGGAGCAAGGAUCUGCGGAAACUAGGACAACGCUCCCUCAGUACGAUAUUUGCAUGGGCGCUUCUGAUGCUUCUCAUUUAUUCCUCACGUGCUGAUCUCAAUGGACACUUAAUUUUGCAGCCGAUUACCUUAAAACACAUGACAAAUGGUAGUAUGCAGCCUAGAGCCUGGCAACAGGAAUUUAGGCUGAGCCCUGAUGUGGUGGUGCCUGCCUGCAGACUGUGGCGCCCGCGGCCUGAGAUGACUGUAUGCUUGACUGAAGCAAAACGGAUAGGAAGUCCAAACAAGGAAUCCAUCCGAAGAGCCUGGACUUAAAUGUAGAGGCAAUGCAUAAGAAGAGGAGAAGCGGCAAGAUGGAGGCUUAGGAGGACGCUGGGCUCACCGCGCGUCCUGCUGAUCACUUAGAUUCCACCUACACCUGCCUAAAUAACCCAGAAAACCGCCAGAGGAUUAGCAGAACAGAGUCGCCGGAGCCAAACGCAGACGAGAGGCCCACGGAAGAGGGUAGGAAGGGCUGCGAGGCGGUGCGCGCUCCACGGACUGGCGGGAGGGAGCUGGGGCGGAGGGACGGCUCGCCGGCCAAGCAGAGCCCCUGAGUCUGGCUGGCAAAAGCGGAGGGGGCUGACGGACUGUGUUCCCACAACAAGCGCGACUUAGCGUCUGGGAGGUCAUAAGUUAACAGCUCUGCUCGGAAAGCGGGAAGGCUGGAGGACAAAGGGAGGGAGAGCUGCUGAGCCCCCUGACGACAGAGCUCAGCUUGGUGGGGAACAAAGGCGCUCGCCAGCGCCAUCUCCCCCGCCCAUCCCCCAGCCAAAAUCCCAAAGAGAACCAGUUCCUGCCAGGGAUCUUGCUCGCUCCGCGCACCCAACUCUGUGCUUCUGCGGAGCCAAACCUCCAGCAGCGGAUCUGACUCCCUCCCGCUGCCACAGGGCCCCUCCUGAAGAGGAUCACCUAAGGAGAAGCAAUCUAAGCCUGCCCCUCCUGCCCCCGUGCACCUUGCCUACCCACCCCAGCUAAUACGCCAGAUCCCCAGCAUCACAAGCCUGGCAGUGUGCAAGUAGCCCAGACGGGCCACACCACCCCACAGUGAAUCCCGCCCCUAGGAGAGGGGAAGAGAAGGCACACACCAGUCUAACUGUGGCCCCAGCGGUGGGCUGGGGGCAGACAUCAGGUCUGACUGCGGCCCCGCCCACCAACUCCA